rnacentral:rRNA from 1 species
CGGCGAGUGAGCGGGAGAGCUCAAUUUGAAUCUAGUAGCCUUCGGCUGCUCGAGUUGUAAUCUAGAGAAGUGUUUUCCGUGCCCGCCCAUGUACAAGGCCCUUGGAACAGGGCGUCAUAGAGGGUGAGAAUCCCGUCCUUGACAUGGACCCCCGGUGCUCUGUGAUACACUUUCAACGAGUCGAGUUGUUUGGGAAUGCAGCUCAAAAUGGGUGGUGAAUUCCAUCUAAAGCUAAAUAUUGGCGAGAGACCGAUAGCGAACAAGUACCGUGAGGGAAAGAUGAAAAGCACUUUGGAAAGAGAGUUAAACAGUACGUGAAAUUGUUGAAAGGGAAACGAUUGAAGUCAGUCAUGCUCUUUGGUAUUUAUAUCAUUGAGUGGGGUCAACAUCAGUUUUGAGCGAUGGAUAAAGGCACUAGGAAGGUAGCACUCUCGGGUGAACUUAUAGCCUAGCGUCAUAUACAUUGUUUGGGACUGAGGAACGCAGCAUGCCUUUAUGGCCGGGAUUCGUCCACGUACAUGCUUAGGAUGUUGACAUAAUGGCUUUAAACGACCCGUCUUGAAACACGGAC